UUUUCCACUCCUGACUGGGAAAAAGGUUCUCCUGAAACAGCUGAGCCGAACGACUUGCCUUAUGGAGAAUUAAGGAGCAGCACGCAUGCACGCACACAUAAGCAGCCAUUUCUAUAAAUGCCUGAGAAAAAUCACUCAGCCGAAUGGCCCAGAACGCUGGAAACCCUAUUCCUGAGUCGGACAGACUCUGGCAGCUCACAGAGGCACUGCAGGCCUCCCUGGCUGCACGACUGGGCAGCGCCCUGAAGGAGAAAAUGUCUUUGCUCAAGGUGGCAGUGGGUGCCGAUGGGAACAACCGAACUCGGGGAACAUGGCUGACACAGCCAGGCCCGCCCAGCAGCUGUUGGCCCAAGACCUCAUCUUAAAAGUAUCGAAGUAUUACACCAAAAAAUGACAACACUUUUCCAACUAACUCCAACAAUACCCCCUCAAACACGGUGUCACAGGACAGAAGCAAAAGGCUUAUCUGAGAGGACCAAGCCCCGCUACCUCGUCUGAAUAGCGUUUGUGAGAGAAGCGUUCGGAAGAUGGUCAGACAGCAUAUCCAAAUGUGAAUGCUUUCCAACUUUCACCGUGCAUGUUAGACACAACCAAGAGAACUGGAUGACCCAGGUCCCUGCAAGUCUCCAACGCCCAUUUUAAAAGGCAGAUAGAUGUCUUUCUGGCCACAUUCUUGUCCGGCCCUUCCUCUCAUCCUCCCUGGGAGGAACUAUUCCCUGAGGCCUCCAGAACCGCCCAGCAUUCAUUACCAAGGUUGACCUCCGGCAAGGACCACACCUCCCUGCAAACCGCCUGAUUCAGGGGUGGAGGGUGCGACCUAAGUCACAUGGCCAAAAAAAAAAAAAAAAAAAAAAAAAAAACUCAGCUCUGAAAUCUGGCUCAUUAGGAAGGCUAAUGAGUGAAGUUAACCACCAUUACUUGAUCAAACUCCUCUGCUGCCUGAAGCAGGGUUAUUUUAAACCUCUCGGGGGACUCCUGGCCAAAUUUAAAACCACCUUGGCAAGCCCAGAAAAGUAGCAGGCAUCCAGCUAAAUGAGUCCUUAGUCAUCCCUAAAAGGCUCGAAGUAAAGUGCGCCGCGUCCCCCCUCGGUUUCAACCACUUCUCUGCAACCCGACAAGGGAAUUAAAUAAAAGAUACGCCAUCUGA